CAAGCUGGAGCCUGAAUCGAACGCACCCUCCCCAAUGGCGCUGUGUAAUUAGACCUGGCGUCUCACCUGGAGCUGGACAUACACAUUCACCUGAAGAGUGGCUAACUGCGGCUACGCGUCGUGUACUGUCCCAUAAACAAGAGCCAACCUGGCCGUCAGCAGUCCAACAUCCCCGUACGACGCCUUUGAAGAUGAAAUGACCCGGUAGGGAGACACUGACUGAGCCAGGGAAGAAAAAGUACUACUUUCAAUCACAAUGGCUAGCGCAGUAACCGAGCAGGAGGGGCACCGAAACAGCCUAAUGAUCAUUCUGCACUCGCAAAAAUGGGACCAAGUGAAAUUUUAACUCUCAAACAAUGGUCGCAUAUGCCACCACUUUGUUUGGAGUUUGGAGCCCUGAGUGUUUGUCAUCUGUAACUGUCUUAAAUAAUUAAAAUCACUAUGCUCUGUAGUA